AGGGAGGAGGGAGGGUGCUGCUGUUCAGAGGGACAGACGCACAGAGGACACGGGAGCAUCCUCCAUUCAUCCUCAGUGAAAUAGCACCAACCCCGCGUGUCUGCAAGUUACCUGAUCUCAGCAGCUGCCGGCACCUUGGCUUUCCACAGGAUAUUAGUCUAGCCUCAUUAAAGGAAGACAUUAAGAGCAGGAUGUCCACUGACUGGAGUCGAGACACUCAUCUGUCCAAGUGCCAUCUUCAAAGAAAAUAAGGCAGGGAAAUAUACUGCGAACAUGAUCUUUACACUGAUAACAGCAGGUGAAGGCAAUGGAUAUGAAGACAGUCGUUAUAAUGAUUAUAUAGUACAGAGACAUGGUGUAUUUUUGUCAUAAAAGUAAAAUGCUGCCUCUUUUUAAAGCCUGUUAAUAAAAAUCAA